rnacentral:rRNA from 1 species
ACUCCUGCGGGAGGCAGCAGUGGGGAAUAUUGCACAAUGGGCGCAAGCCUGAUGCAGCGACGCCGCGUGGGGGAUGAAGGCCUUCGGGUUGUAAACUCCUUUCGCUAGGGACGAAGCUUUUUUGUGACGGUACCUAGAUAAGAAGCACCGGCUAACUACGUGCCAGCAGCCGCGGUAAUACGUAGGGUGCGAGCGUUGUCCGGAAUUACUGGGCGUAAAGGGCUCGUAGGUGGUUUGUCGCGUCGUCUGUGAAAUUCUGGGGCUUAACUCCGGGCGUGCAGGCGAUACGGGCAUAACUUGAGUGCUGUAGGGGUAACUGGAAUUCCUGGUGUAGCGGUGAAAUGCGCAGAUAUCAGGAGGAACACCGAUGGCGAAGGCAGGUUACUGGGCAGUUACUGACGCUGAGGAGCGAAAGCAUGGGUAGCGAACAGGAUUAGAUACCCUUGUAGUCCCAUGAU